rnacentral:rRNA from 1 species
AGACCCGAAACCCGGUGAUCUAGCCAUGGGCAGGUUGAAGGUUGGGUAACACUAACUGGAGGACCGAACCGACUAAUGUUGAAAAAUUAGCGGAUGACCUGUGGCUGGGGGUGAAAGGCCAAUCAAACCGGGAGAUAGCUGGUUCUCCCCGAAAGCUAUUUAGGUAGCGCCUCGUGAAUUCAUCUCCGGGGGUAGAGCACUGUUUCGGCUAGGGGGCCAUCCCGGCUUACCAACCCGAUGCAAACUGCGAAUACCGGAGAAUGUUAUCACGGGAGACACACGGCGGGUGCUAACGUCCGUCGUGAAGAGGGAAACAACCCAGACCGCCAGCUAAGGUCCCAAAGUCAUGGUUAAGUGGGAAACGAUGUGGGAAGGCCCAGACAGCCAGGAUGUUGGCUUAGAAGCAGCCAUCAUUUAAAGAAAGCGUAAUAGCUCACUGGUCGAGUCGGCCUGCGCGGAAGAUGUAACGGGGCUAAACCAUGCACCGAAGCUGCGGCAGCGACACUCAGGUGUCGUUGGGUAGGGGAGCGUUCUGUAAGCCUGCGAAGGUGGCCUGUGAGGGUUGCUGGAGGUAUCAGAAGUGCGAAUGCUGACAUAAGUAACGAUAAAGCGGGUGAAAAGCCCGCUCGCCGGAAGACCAAGGGUUCCUGUCCAACGUUAAUCGGGGCAGGGUGAGUCGACCCCUAAGGCGAGGCCGAAAGGCGUAGUCGAUGGGAAACGGGUUAAUAUUCCCGUACUUGGUGUUACUGCGAAGGGGGGACGGAGAAGGCUAUGUUGGCCGGGCGACGGUUGUCCCGGUUUAAGCGUGUAGGUGUGUGUUCCAGGUAAAUCCGGUUCACUUUAACACUGAGGCGUGACGACGAGGCACUACGGUGCUGAAGCAACAAAUGCCCUGCUUCCAGGAAAAGCCUCUAAGCAUCAGGUAACAUCAAAUCGUACCCCAAACCGACACAGGUGGUCAGGUAGAGAAUACCAAGGCGCUUGAGAGAACUCGGGUGAAGGAACUAGGCAAAAUGGUGCCGUAACUUCGGGAGAAGGCACGCUGACAUGUAGGUGAAGUGAUUUACUCAUGGAGCUGAAGUCAGUCGAAGAUACCAGCUGGCUGCAACUGUUUAUUAAAAACACAGCACUGUGCAAACACGAAAGUGGACGUAUACGGUGUGACGCCUGCCCGGUGCCGGAAGGUUAAUUGAUGGGGUCAGCGCAAGCGAAGCUCCUGAUCGAAGCCCCGGUAAACGGCGGCCGUAACUAUAACGGUCCUAAGGUAGCGAAAUUCCUUGUCGGGUAAGUUCCGACCUGCACGAAUGGCGUAAUGAUGGCCAGGCUGUCUCCACCCGAGACUCAGUGAAAUUGAACUCGCUGUGAAGAUGCAGUGUACCCGCGGCAAGACGGAAAGACCCCGUGAACCUUUACUAUAGCUUGACACUGAACAUUGAGCCUUGAUGUGUAGGAUAGGUGGGAGGCUUUGAAGUGUGGACGCCAGUCUGCAUGGAGCCGACCUUGAAAUACCACCCUUUAAUGUUUGAUGUUCUAACGUGGACCCGUGAUCCGGGUUGCGGACAGUGUCUGGUGGGUAGUUUGACUGGGGCGGUCUCCUCCUAAAGAGUAACGGAGGAGCACGAAGGUUGGCUAAUCCUGGUCGGACAUCAGGAGGUUAGUGCAAUGGCAUAAGCCAGCUUGACUGCGAGCGUGACGGCGCGAGCAGGUGCGAAAGCAGGUCAUAGUGAUCCGGUGGUUCUGAAUGGAAGGGCCAUCGCUCAACGGAUAAAAGGUACUCCGGGGAUAACAGGCUGAUACCGCCCAAGAGUUCAUAUCGACGGCGGUGUUUGGCACCUCGAUGUCGGCUCAUCACAUCCUGGGGCUGAAGUAGGUCCCAAGGGUAUGGCUGUUCGCCAUUUAAAGUGGUACGCGAGCUGGGUUUAGAACGUCGUGAGACAGUUCGGUCCCUAUCUGCCGUGGGCGCUGGAGAACUGAGGGGGGCUGCUCCUAGUACGAGAGGACCGGAGUGGACGCAUCACUGGUGUUCGGGUUGUCAUGCCAAUGGCACUGCCCGGUAGCUAAAUGCGGAAGAGAUAAGUGCUGAAAGCAUCUAAGCACGAAACUUGCCCCGAGAUGAGUUCUCCCUGAGACUUAGAGUCUCCUGAAGGAACGUUGAAGACGACGACGUUGAUAGGCCGGGU